rnacentral:lncRNA from 1 species
AUAAUGUUUAGUAGUUUAUAUAUAUGACAUCACGUACGGACUAAAUUUUGUAAUAAAAUGUUCAAUGGAUGGUGGUAAGUAUAAUAAGAGUUGCAAGUCUUAGCGAACUAAUUAAAUCUUGUAGCUGUCAAAGCGUCAUCUAGCACAUACAUAGGGAGGUUAGUACAAUAAUGUAUAAAUUACAUUUGUCUCGUGGAUAAGUUGUACUAGCUACAAAAGGACACGCUAUUUUCUAUUUACAAUUGAGUUCAAAUCCUUUUAACUUUUCAAACCACGGUUAAUUAUAGCGAAUUAACGUUAGUUUUUUAGUUAAAUGACAAGUUUGUCUUAUUACAUUUUAAACAAAUAAUGAAACGCAUAUGUGGGCGACACCUAUUGGAGAAAUCUUUAAUCGAUCCCACGUCCAUGUUUAAAAAACGUAUUUAGAGUAGAAUCUGUCAGGCCGUUAUAAGUUAUAUAAGUACUCCUGAAUCAAGACUGAUUAAUCAAGAACUCGUCAAAUGUUAAAUAACAAAUAACCCAAAUCCAUCGGCUACAAUUUACAGCCCACAAUACUUUUGUUGGUUAUAAUUAAAUUUUGAAUUGAAUUGUUAUAUAGUUUGAGAUAAACCCAUGUUUAAAACAAACCCUAUACUGUAAAUGCAUUUUCCUUUACGGCGUUCAGUUAUUAGAGUUCAGAAUUGGCUUUAUUUUUACUUUUUACUGAUAGAUAUGAAACACGGGCUCCAUGAAAUAUGACAUCAUUCGAAGGAGCAUAGAUCCCAUUGGAUUGGAGAGGUAAGUCUCACGCGCCAACGUAUGGCGGCGCUGAGCCGUAGAUAUUAUUUGCUUGCUAGUAAAGGCACCGUUAUGAACUCUAAUAAAAAAAAAAUCUUAAAUUUGCAAUCAAAUUUGUUGGUUUUGAACUUAAAGAGAGUAAAAAAAAAAUCUAUAGGUGUGUUUUUCGACGAAAUAUAAUAGACAUGGUAGAUAAUUUUUUUUUAUUAGACUAUGUAUUUUCAAGUAUAUUGAAAGAAAUAUUGGAUGUUGAAAUUCAACAACUGUAUAACAGUUACAUGUAAAUAAACAGACAGAUCAGUGAUUUAGAUGUGAUUUAGAUAAGUCAAGUCAACUGGAUUACACAUUAACAGAUAAAUUUUAUUUAAUUAAUACAAGCAGACUCCAUGAUUUACGUUUGAUUCAACGGUCACGAUGAUAAUUAAGUUAGCGUUUGCAAUAAGUUAAGUUAGUUGAUGUAACCAUCACAUUACACCUAUUUAUUACAUUCUUUACUCUGUACUAUACAGUUAAUUAAUAAGAUUCAUAUAUUUUUCUAUCCAUUGCGAUUAAAGCCACCUGUUGCAAACCCAUUUGUUAUUAAACAAAAUUUAUUUUACUAAUGACCAUAUAUACACAAUUAAAAGUUUUUGUGUAAAUCAAUAUUCGUUACAUUUUUGAAUCCAUGUAAAUCAUCUAAACAAUUACAUUCAAAGUGGUCUUGCUUCUGUUCUAAACACCUUUAGUUUGAUGUUUAUUUAUCAAAUAAAUCAGUGAACGAGACUCUGCAAUCAUCUUUUUCUUGUGGCUGAACGGUCUUGCUUUCUUAUUUUCCUUUAAAACAAUAUUGGAAUCAAAUCUACAAGCACUUUCAAUUUGUUAAAUAUAAGAUAUUCACACAAAAGAGAUUCACAAUCGACGUCGAUCGAUUCUAACGGAAUCAAGCUUGGGAAGCCUAAUUAACUAGCUAACUAUCAGCACAGUAUUAGUAACCUCUUGAAAGAGUAUUUUAAUAACCUUUUGUACUUAUAUUAAAUAUCUCAAAUAUGAACAUGUUAUAUUAAUACUAUGAACAUUUUUUCCAAAAUUAGAAAAAUAUCUUUUAAACUAUAUUUUGGCCAUACAUAUGUAAAAUUCGUUUUUUUUCUUGCAAAGUUAGCCGUCAGAUACACUAUUAUACUCUUUCCGUUUUAUAUUAAGUAUCGUUGUAAAAAAAAAUUGUUACAAAAUAAAUAUCGUUUUAGUAUUUCAAUGCACAAUUUAUUAACUUUAUUUUCCAGUUUAUUUUUCUAUUGGUUAAAAUAUGAUUAGGUAUAUGGAUAAUGAUGUUUUUAUACAGAAAAUAUACAAAAUUAAAUAUUUUCUUAAUUUAUGUGCGUGAAUCUAAAAUGACACUCAAUAUAAAACAUAUGAAGUAGUUGUUUUUUUUAAACUAGACUAGUUUUUUUGACUAAAAAAGACUAGCAUAGUCGAAAUAAUAAAUUUACAACGUAAAAUGUAAAAUAACAAAACAAAAACUAAAUUUGUCGAACAAUGAACACAUUCUUACCGCAGGCUCAGAGAGAGACAAUAAAAUAAAUACAACUACACAAAAUAUUAUUAAGAAAAAAUGUUCCUCUAAAUUAUAUACUAAAAGACAAUAUAUACUAGGGAUAGUACUAUACAAAUACAUAAAUAAAUGUUGGCAUUUAUUUUAAGGAGUUCCGAUUUUCUAUAUAAAGACCAAAGCUAUCUGUUGAUCUUUAAGCCCCACAGACCAAAAGACACUCUCCUUUAGUUUCUCUCCCUUCUCUCUUAUAGCUUCACUUGCAUUCCUUUGAUCCCCCAUGGCUACAGAACUCGAAAGCUCCUUGAUCUUUGCCCUUCUGUCCAAAUGCAGCGGUCUAAGCCAAACCAGUCUCGCUUUCUCUCUCCUUGCCAUCGUAAUAGUAUGGCUCGCCUUCUCUCUCUUCUUCUGGACCUAUCCCGGUGGACCUGCAUGGGGCAAACACCUCUCUCGCCGGUUAACUAACAAAACCGGAACGGUUAUUCCCGGUCCAAGAGGGUUCCCUUUCGUGGGAAGCAUGUCUCUCAUGUCCAGCACUCUAGCUCACCACCGAAUAGCGGAAGCAGCUGAGAGAUACGGAGCCAAACGCCUCAUGGCUUUCAGCUUAGGCGAGACACGCGUGAUCGUCACGUGCAACCCCGACGUGGCUAAAGAGAUUCUGAAUAGUCCAAUUUUUGCUGACCGGCCGGUUAAGGAAUCAGCUUACUCUCUGAUGUUUAACCGGGCGAUUGGUUUCGCGCCACACGGGGUUUACUGGCGAACGCUGCGAAGGAUCGCUUCGAACCACCUCUUCAGUCCUAAACAAAUCAAACGAGCCGAAACGCAGAGGCGGGGGAUCGCUAGCCACUCUCUCCUUGCCAUCGUAAUAGUAUGGCUCGCCUUCUCUCUCUUCUUCUGGACCUAUCCCGGUGGACCUGCAUGGGGCAAACACCUCUCUCGCCGGUUAACUAACAAAACCGGAACGGUUAUUCCCGGUCCAAGAGGGUUCCCUUUCGUGGGAAGCAUGUCUCUCAUGUCCAGCACUCUAGCUCACCACCGAAUAGCGGAAGCAGCUGAGAGAUACGGAGCCAAACGCCUCAUGGCUUUCAGCUUAGGCGAGACACGCGUGAUCGUCACGUGCAACCCCGACGUGGCUAAAGAGAUUCUGAAUAGUCCAAUUUUUGCUGACCGGCCGGUUAAGGAAUCAGCUUACUCUCUGAUGUUUAACCGGGCGAUUGGUUUCGCGCCACACGGGGUUUACUGGCGAACGCUGCGAAGGAUCGCUUCGAACCACCUCUUCAGUCCUAAACAAAUCAAACGAGCCGAAACGCAGAGGCGGGUGAUCGCUAGCCAGAUGGUGGGGUUGCUCGAGAAACAGAGCAGUACUAACGCGCUCUGUUUUGUUCGUGAGCUGCUCAAAACGGCGUCGCUUAGCAACAUGAUGUGUUCUGUUUUCGGACAAGAGUACGAGCUUGAUCAAGACCAUGUUGAGUUACGUGAGUUGGUCGAAGAAGGCUAUGAUUUGCUCGGAGAAUUGAAUUGGACCGAUCACCUUCCUUGGUUAUCGGAAUUUGAUCCACAGAGAAUCCGGUCUAGAUGUUCCGCACUCGUACCAAAGGUAAACCGGUUUGUAUCACGGAUUAUAUCUGAGCAUCGUAGACAAACCGGUGACUCGCCUCGUGAUUUCGUGGACGUCCUGCUCUCCCUCCAUGGUUCGGAUCAAUUAUCCGACCCUGACAUCAUUGCUGUUCUUUGGGUAAUUAAUUUUUAUAAUCUAAAUAUUGCUUUAGAAAUUCCGGAAAAAAACAUGAAUUUUUAGAUGGAAUGUGACAUGUGAUGGGAUAAAUAAAGCAUUAGAAUAUUUAUCAACAGAUUCUAUAUAAAGUAGUAAAUAAUUAAAUACUAAAGAAUUUGCAUUUAUUCUCGUUAUAUUUUUAUUACAGGAAAUGAUAUUCAGAGGAACAGACACAGUUGCGGUUUUAGUCGAGUGGAUCCUCGCUAGGAUGGUGCUUCAUCCAGAUAUUCAAUCGACGGUACAGAACGAGCUUGAUUCGGUAGUCGGAAAAUCAAGAGCCGUCGAUGAGUCUGACUUGGUUUCACUUCCGUAUCUGACGGCUAUGGUGAAAGAAGUUCUGAGGAUGCACCCUCCAGGCCCACUACUAUCGUGGGCCCGUUUGGCCAUAACAGACACGAUAGUUGAUGGUUGUCUUGUUCCGGCGGGGACCACAGCAAUGGUGAACAUGUGGGCCAUAGCGCAUGAUCCACACGUGUGGGUUGAUCCUUUGGAGUUUAAACCCGAGAGGUUCGUAGCGAAAGAAGGUGAGGUGGAGUUCUCGGUUCUAGGGUCGGACUUGAGACUAGCGCCUUUUGGGUCGGGUCGUCGGAUCUGCCCUGGGAAGAAUCUUGGUUUGACUACCGUUACGUUCUGGACCGCGACGCUGUUGCAUGAGUUUGAAUGGGGAUCGUCUGUUGGAAACGGUGUUGACUUAUCUGAGAAGCUGAGGCUUUCAUGUGAGAUGGCUACCCCUCUUGCUGCUCAAGUGCGUCGUAGGCGCAGUUAAAAAACUUAUAAGAAAAUGGAAGGUUUCUAAUUAAUGGAAACAAUGUAUUAACUAAUUAAGCAGCUUUUUAAUUAGAACUAACAUUCUUAUAUAUACGUGUGGUGUUUGUGUGUGUGUGUGAUUUGUGAGUAUGAAAGGUGAGUGAUGUGUCUCUAUGUUGUAAAUACAAUGAAAAGUAAUUUAUAUUGUUAUGUUCUUGAUUUGUGUCUAAAACGUAAUUUAUUUACUAUCGUAUAAGGUAAUUAAAAAAAUCACCGUGGUUAGUCCAAAAACCACAUGCGUUUGUAACUUUGUAUACUUCAAAUAUAGAUGCCGCCCUAGUCAAUUCUAAAAAUACAACCCGCAGGUUUUCGACCCUGGCAAAUUAGUUCUCCUUAAGCUAUACAACUCAACACAUUCUUUUAUGAAAAAAUUCUAAAAAUCAAGAUUGCAAUCGUAUAUAAAACUAUAAAAUCUGUGUCGUUAGAAAAAACCAUAAAAUCUUUUUCGUGAUUACGGAAAUGAUCUUUCAGAGUAUACACACUCUGGAAUUUCUUUACUUUUUAUAUAAUAUUUAACCAGCACAUGUAAUCAACGCUUUGAAUAUUUAAAGAAAAUAAAAUAUAUUUCCUGACAGCAAAUAUUGACUUAAGAAUAAUAUUCUCAGAUUUUUUAUUCGAAUAUCCAAAUACUAUGCAUGAAAAGAACAUCACUUCGAGAACAAGUAUGAGUCUGUAAAAAUCGAUGACAAAAAAAAAUUAAUUAUAAUUACAUUGUGAAAUCGAAUAGGUCAAAUCAAUUGAUAAGUUUUAAAACCUACAACAUUCUUCAGAUCUUUGUAUCCAUAAAGUGCCAAGAAAUAUUAACAGACAAUAUGUAAGUUGAAAUUAUACAUGUGGGUUUCAUAUCUUUAUAGUAAACAUAUAUACAAUAACCUCAUUUUAUAUAUAUCACGCCCAUUCCUUCCUCCUUUGAGAAGUUGUAUAUCUGUCUUACUUUCUACUUGUUUUUUCUUUGCAUAUGUACAGUUGUAUACAAUAUAACGAACUACUACUUGGUGUUAAUUGAGCUUGCCUCACCCAUUCAUCUUUUGGUUAAUGAAAUUUAUUUUAGUUGAUUGUUUUUUUUUAUAACAUAUCAAAAACUGGCCUGUUUGCUACGGCUGUUACAAAAAGAAAUAAAAGCUUGAACUCCCAUUCACGGGCCAACUUUUUGAAUAAGAAACCAUUAUUAUUACGAACGCACAAGACCAAAAUAAUACUAUUACAACAAUAUGAAACUAUGUGAUGGAUGUUUCUUUCCAAGUUCCAACAUCAAUCUUUUAACUUGUCUGCUUGUUGUUGUAGAAUCUGAGAAAGAAAGCAACGCCGAGAAUCAAGAGAGGAAUCAAGUAUACAAGCAUCUUGUUUCCAGUUUCUUCUUUUGUGGUUUCAGCCGUAGAUUCUUUCUCCCACGGCGGAAUAUACUUCGCCGUCACCGGAACCGUUGACUUGUCAACGUCACCGAUACAAUAUUUCUUCAUCGUUUCUUUUGCUUCAUUGCUAUGAUUCACAUCGUCGAAAUCAGUCGACGCGUCCUUUCCUUUUUUAGUAAGUUGUCAAUAAAUUCACACAGUUACGUAAACCAAAAGAAAUGGAAAAAACGGAUUAAACCAAUAAUUAUUUGUACGUACCGGUGACGGCGAGUAGAACAUUGUCACCGCCAGGAUGUUCGUCAAUGAAACUGCUGAUGUCAUAGACCUGUGGAUACACUUGUUUUAGAUUCAUACAUAGUAGAAGACUAAGAAAAAAACAAUGGAUUCAUGAAAAAUAGACCUUUCCGUGGAUGAGAAUCCAACAAUCAUUCUUGCACUUAUGUUUAGCCACAUCAUGAAACGAAAUAAGAUUCGCCAUUUGAUCACUCUGUUGCUCUUGCUUAGAAGUUAAUUAACCUGAAAUAGAGUUUCAUUAGACUUCAAAUAUAUAACACUGAAACAAAAUCAAGAAAGCAAUUGAAGGGAAGAGUUUCCACGAUUACGAACCUAUAGAUGGAACAAAGCGCAACUUCUCGAGACCACACGCGGUCUGUUUAUAUUAUAAGCUGUGAAAGAACUCUUGAAUAUUGUUAUUUCUUGAUUUUUGAUUACAUUACAAUUAGUAAAUAGGUUAAGGCGUUGAAAGAAAUGUAAAAAAUGGUACCUACCAUAAUGAAACGUGAAGAAUAUGAUGAUUGUAAUUAAAUGGUAGCUGAGACGCGUCAAAGUGCUCAGCGACCUCAGGUUGGUGAAGUCCUUCACGUUUUUAUAUCACGUAACUAAAUAUACCGAAAGUCCACCAUCAUUAUUUCGUUUUGUUUAAACUUAAGCCUCAAAGUUACUUUUCCUCACCAGGCCCAAUAACGCAAAAGAGGUUUUCCUACUUUAGAAAUAGUACUAGAUUCUGACCUGCCCUUUCAAAAGGGCGGGUAUAUUUUUUGUUUAAAAAAAAAAGUUAAUUUUUAUAUUUGUGUUUUUCUUUGUAAUCAUAUUUAUAUUUUUCUAUGUAGUCAUAUUUGUGUAAAAUAUUUUUUAAAAUUAUUAGUAAGAGGUUUUGUGAAAAUCGGCACCUAUAGAAGUAAUCCUAUGUUAUCCCUUAUCAUAACAUACUUACCCUAUAUUAUGAUUGAAUAAUGUCAAUUACUUUAUAGGAUAUAUCAUUUGUAACAUUUAAAUUUCAAAGUUUUGGAAAAUGGUAUUAGAUUUGUUUACAUAUGAUUUAUUUUUCUGUACAUGUGUUAAAUAUUUUUUUGGUAAUGAAAAUUUCUACAUAUGGAAGACGAUAUGUUUUGCUAAAACCCAUAUUUGAGUUAGCGGACUGGACCAGCUGGACUGUGACCCGCUCUUUUAAGCCGUUCAAGAUUGUGCUAAAACCAGAUUUAAAUUAAACUGACAAAUCUAGUCAUAAAUGGGUCAAACUCAUUAAAAUUGGUGAUUCGAUUCAAUAUCAAAACUCGGGUUCUCGAAUUCAAGUUAAAAAUAAAUGAAACAUGAUUUAAAAAAAACAUAAAAUUUUAUAGUGUUUUCUAAUAUCUAUCUAAAUAGAUUAGUCUCAUCAUAUUUUUAUAUUAAUUUUUGAAUUUCUCAUUUUAUUUUUAGAUUCCAACAAUAAUAUAAAUUUUUAUCAAAAUAAUUUUAUGAUUGCACUUAUACAUAUAUAGCUAUUUAAUUUAAAACUGAAUUAAAAUUUAAAACCCGCUUAACCGGUUUGACCAUUGAUCCAUCUACAAUGUAGAGUAAAUGUCAGGAGACAGUUUUCAAAACAUUGUAAAAAAUAUUAAAUAUGGUAACAUACAUUGUUUAUAAUUUUGUAUAAAAUAUUUAAAUCUAAAAUUCCAAGAUGCUAUUUUGCUAAAUUAAUCUUUUUUUAAAUAAUAAAUUCUAUUUUAAUUUAAUAGGAUAAGAAAUGUUUUCAUUUUUCGCUGAUUUCUCUUGUUAUUCCUGCAGGUUUCAGUCACAAUAUAACGAAUCUAAAGUAUACAUGUGAUUAUAAGCUUAAAAUCUACAAAAAAAAAUUGAGUUCUUUCAGUUUUUUAUUUAUUUCUCAAUUAACACCAAAUCACCAUGGUUGCUGACCACUCCAUGAUUUUCUGGCGACUAAUCGGUUGUCGAGGCCGAGUUCUCGAACAUGACUUUUUUAUAAAACAUCUGAAAAAGGGUAAUAAAUUUUUUUUUUUUGGUCGAUUACUUCGACUUAGAUGUUUACGAUGAGUUACUGUAAAAUGGGUUUUAUCAACCCAGUUCGCUAAGCUGGGUUUAUCAAAUUAGAUUACAUUAUAACCAUGAUUCUUCAGAAAUUAGUAUACCUCGUUUGUGUUGGUGGGAUUAUCAUCAUUUUCUGUUCACAACACUAACAUUUGCUCAAUAAGCGUUUAGUGUUAGGAUGAUGAUGAGAAAUCAUGUGUAAAAAGGUUAUCAAUAAAUAGAAGUGGUUACUGGACAGAGAAAAAUAAUUGCUCUUGAAGAAUAAGAUCGUGCUUUUUUCAAACAAAAAAAUCUAUACUAUACUAAAAGAAGAAUAAACUCCACAGCUAAGGUGUCCACAUCAGCAAAUUAAUUCGAGCCAAUCAGAUUCUAAAUAUAUGCCAUGUCAGCACGACCUUAAUCUUCCUUGCAAAUUUGUCGAUCAAAAUCCCAGAAACAGAUCAUUUGCUCACCCCGUUACAAUCUCUACAUCUCUUUUUCUCUCUUCUCCGAGCUUCUCCGUUGGGUGAACGACUACUGUUGAAUUGAUUUCUUCCUUUCGAUUCGAUUCUCUCUACCGAUUACUAAGGUUCUCUCUCUCUCCAUAGAUCAUCUCUCCUUUGUUUAUCCGCGAACGUAUCUCUCUAUUCUGAGCAGUUAGAUAGCCACCUUCUUUCUCUUCUCUUCUAAUUUAGUCUUUUGAUAGAUCUGAUUGAGAUUUUUUGAGGGUUUCAUCUUUCCAGCUUAUGGGUUUCGAUAAAGCCUCUUCCUUUACUUACGAUCACCCAUCUGCUAUUGGUUCAUCAAUGGCUGUUGAGAAAGGUUGGUCGUGACUGAAGCUUGACUCCGGAGAUGAAGAACUCGCCGUGAAAGCUUGGUCGCGGUAAAGCUCCGAGAUGGUGAGGUUGAAGACGACUCGACAGAGACGAAGCUUUCACUGAGAAGAGCACGGCUUGACGAAGCGGGUAAGAAACAUCGGGUUGGAGCGACGAAGCCUAACCGUUCGUUCCAGUUUCGAAUCAUCACAAGUGCUGGAGCGGGCAACGCACAGCGGGUUGAUGAAGUGGCCGUACCAUGAGCGUGCGCUGGAGCAGGUGGUGCUAGCGAGGAGAAGAAACCGCUCGGGACCUCAAACAAACUCGAAGCUGCACAGCAGCUUCUCAAAACAGGCUGAUGAAACCGCUGUGGUCAUUGCACUGCUCGGAGCAGCUUAGUGGAGCGAGGAGAAGAGGCCGCUCGCUUUGGUGAUCGUUGUGGAAUUUGCCAGGUUCAUUCUUAUCAAGGAUAAUGAGUAACAGGAGCAGCAGCAAUCGUUUUGAUUAUUUAAAGUUGCAAGCUUUUUUCUAGAUUUAGGACAAACUUUCAGUUAUGAGUGCAUCAUGGGCAGAUGUGGCUGACUCUGAGAAGGCUGCUUCCAGGGCAAAGCCUGCUUAUGUUCCCACACAUCUAAGGAACAUGCAGUCUGAGCCUGUUGCUACUUUGCCACAAAAUGAUCGUCCGGGGUAUGGUGGUCAACCGUCUAGAUGGGCUCCUGGAGGUGGAGUUGGUGGAGGCGGUGGCUACAGGAAUGAUGUAGGGAGGACGAGUAAGUGGUGGUGGUGGCUGGAACAACAGAGGUGGAGGAUGGGACCGUGAAGUUAAUCCGUUUGGAGAUGAUGCUGAUUUAGAACCUGCCGUUCAGGAGAAUACUGGCAUUAAUUUUGAUGCUUAUGAAGAUAUUCCCAUCGAGACCAGUUGAGGAUACGUGCCUCCUCCUGUUAACACUUUUGCUGACAUUGAUUUUGGGGAGGCGUUGAAUCUCAACAUCAGGAGGUGUAAGUACGUGAGGACAACACCUGUACAGCGUCACGCCAUUCCGAUACUUCUUGCAGAGAGGGAUUGAUGGCAUGUGCUUAGACAGGGUCUGUGAAGACUGCUGCCUUUUGCUUUCCGAUAAUUAGUGGAAUCAUGAGAGAUCAGCACCUUCAGAGACCUCGUGGUUCACGGACCGUUUACCCUCUUGCAAUUAUCCUCUCACCAACAAGGGAGCUGGCAUCUCAGGUAACAUAGAGAAUCUACUCAUUCUCUCACAUAAUAUAAUUUCUUCAGACAAGACACAUGUGUAUUUUUUAAAUAUACAAAAAUUUUGACGUUUUGCUUUUUUUUUUUUUAAGAUUCAUGAAGCGAAAACAUUCACAUGCCAAACUGGUGUGAAGGUCAUUGUUGCUUACGGAGGAACACCUAUUAACCAGCAGGUAAUUAUCAUGCACAUGUAAUUUUUCUUUCUUGGUUGUCCACCUUUGUCUUUGGAUAUUGUUUUAUGUUUUAUAGGGGUGUUGUCUAUUUUAAGUUAAUAGCAGCUUACGGCUUACUGGUUUGGGGUCUGCUAGCUCUAUUCUUCCUUAUAUCAGUCUCAUUUUUGAAAUUAUGUUUUGAUUUUGAAGUCAGCAGUGCAUGAUUAAUAUUGUAUCGUACAUAACAUCAUGUUUAACGUGAUCCUCAUCCUCUUCACUCCCAUUCAAAAAUUUAAAUAUUUAUUAAAUCAUUGUGUUAUUGGUCAUCAAAAUUUACAGAUUUAAGUAUUCAAAAUGAUUACACAUGCAGUGUGUGUGUAUGUAUAUGAAAUGAAGGUUAAAUAUGAUUACCAAAAUAUUAAUAGAAACUUUAACUAUGUUUACAUCUAAAAUAUACAUUAGUAUAUAAAUUAAUGAUAUUUUAAACACAAAAAUUAUUAUCUUUUAAAACAAUUCAUUUUAAUUUGUCAAAUACUAUAUCAACAAAUAAAUGGUAAUCAAUCUUUAUAUUUAAGUUUAGGGGUGGGCGUUCGGAUACCCAUUCGGGUUCGGUUCGGAUCUAAUUGGGUUUCGGGUUUUCGGGUUUAAAGAUUUCAGCCCCAUUCGGAUAUUUCUAAAUUUCGGUUCGGGUUCGGUUCGGAUCUUUGCGGGUUCGGUUCGGUUUCGGAUAACUUAUUUAAAUUAUUUUUAAAAUUUUAAUUUUCAUUAUAUGCUUAAACUUUCUCAAAAUCUAUAAAACAAAAUAAUAUAUUACAUAUAAAUUUUUAUGACAUAUGUCAAAAUACCUAAAAUUAACAUAUAAAUUGGUUUGAUUUGAAUAUUUGGAUAUAAAAUCAAUAGAUAUUUUAAGCAUUUUGGUGUUUUGAAUAUAUUUUAGCUAUUAUAGACAUUUACUUUUGACUAUUUAUGUAUAUUUCAAGUAUUUUAGACAACUUAAAAGUAUCUUACAUAUUUUGGAUUUUUAAUAUAUAUUAAAUCUAAAAAUAAGUAAUAUAUUUAGGUAUAUAAAUCUAUUUUGGUUACAUUCGGGUACCCGAGAUACUUUGGUUCGGGUCGGGUUCGGUUUCGGUUCUUUAGAUACCAAAAUUUUGAACCCGUUCGGAUAUUUAAUCAAUUUUGGUUCGAAUUUGGUACUACUUUUUCGGAUCGGGUUCGGUUCGGUUCUUCGGAUCCGAAUUUUUUGCCCAGCCCUAUUUAAGUUUAAAUUUAAAAUAUAUAUAAAUUUUAUAAACAACAAACCGCGCGUAGCGCGGUAAAACUUCUAGUAAAAAUAAUAAGAGCGUGCAUUAGUAUUGAAAGAUGCUAGAUUCGUUUAUUAUUUAGAUGAGUUAUAAUUUAAGUUGGACACAACAUAUAUCAAUGGGUCAUGAUCCUAAUUUAAUAGUAUUGAUUUGUUGGGCAAGUUGUUUAUUUUUAGGAAGAAAUAUUCUAUAAUAUGUAAUUGGCAGAAGUCGAUGAUUAGCAAUGACAAUGAGAUUUCAUCAGUGAAAAUAAAUGCAAAAUCUUUGGGAUAGGUUCAAUUUUUUUAUUAAUUUAUGACAUUUUAACAAAUUACCUAUAGACUGACUAAGCUAUAACACAAUGGAAUAAUACUUUGUUACAAAAAGAAACAUAAUGGAAUAAUACCUCAGACUGAUACAGGACGAAUUUGUUUUGUUACAGAGAAACUUGUAGAACGAUGCAUGAAGAAUAAAAACACGUAGUCACAUAUAAUAAUAAAAUAAAAUAUGCGGAAAACAGAAAUAAACGGUAACAACUCCGUAGUGGUUUUGUGAAAGACAAACAAUACUUCUUAACGAUACGAACACUCUCAAAAAACAAAAGAAAAUAGAAAUCACAUAUAAUAUGAAAAUCAUACGUCCAGUAAUUGCUCUCGUACGACGUCGUUCUGAGACUUCUAAGCCACGCAAUCUGUUCAACAGCGCAGAUGAUUAAAAGAAAGAUAACUAUUGAUCGCUAAUUAUGUAAAUAAUUCAAAAAGAGGAACCUGGAACAUUAAGAAGAUAAAGUGUCUCGAGAGCUUCACAAUUCAGGGCUGGCUUGUAUGGACCGUCCUUUUUAGACGCCUUACUCGCAUCCAUAUCUGGAUGGAUCUUCUUCUUUAACAUCCUCUUUAUCAUCUACAAUCAUAGAUAUAAAUGAUGUUGUAAUUGUACACAUCAACUGGAUAUAUACACACCUAUAGGUACACUUACGAAGCAACCAAGUGAUACUAACAACAACAGACAUGCAGAUAAAAGAUACUAAAUAAUAAUAACAGACAUGAAACAUCAACUUGAGCUUGACGUGACGUGACGUCGUUUUGCUUGCAUAAUUCAGGCACAUGUAAUACAUUUUUAUAUCAUCAUCAAUGUUGUGGAAUCAAAAUAAAAUAUUUACCUGAUGCACUUUCUUGAUUGGACGCGAGUCAUGCUCGUUCUUGAUUGGACGCGAGUCUUCUGUAUCUUUGGACUUAGUAAUGAUCAUCUUCUUAGCAAACGAUAACUUACUAGGCAGCUUUGACCCGUUUUGUUUAUGAUAUUUAAUCUCCUGGCCAUCAACAUCAAGAUUACGGUUCUUUGGUUUCUUCUUGUCAUGCUUCGUAUCAUCGUCUUUUACUCGGUCUUCCAUGAAAAGCUCGGCUAGUGUUGUCCUCUUCUUCUCCGGCUCCACCUCGGUCUCCGCCGCGGCCGCGGCCACGACCACCGCCCUUUCAACCGUUUUGACCGACUCAAAGUGAUUAAUGCAUAAUGCCUAUAUAAUACGAUAGAUCUCAAGGAAAUCAAUCUAUCAGAAGAUUGAGCUAAUUAAUUUUAGAAUAUCGUUUUUCAUGAAAGAAGUAUAUGACCAUCAAUUAUUUCAUCAGUAUUUGAGUUAAGAUAAAAAAAAAAUACCUAUACAAAAUGCGGUGAUAAAAUGUUUGAAGUUGUAAAUUCAUAUUCAAAACAAAAGAUGUUGUCAAAAUAUAGCUUAUCAUUAUACGCACAUACCUCUAAAUCCUCAUGAUGAUCAUAAACCUUAUUCUCGUUGGAGAUAAGAGGGUCCGACUCUUGGUUGACGUUCUUGAUGAUGCUACCAUCGAUUACCACAUAGUCCAAACCCACACUCUCGCGUUCAUCACCAUCAUCUAUUUCGGCUUCUUCUUGAAAUUUCAAAGUGUCAAAACCAAAUGUGCCGAUGGUGAGAACUCCAUCGAACCAGUUAUCAAGAGCAUCCACUAACCCAACCUGAUCCAUUAUAGCUUUCGUGUUCUUCUCUAUCUCACUUGUUCCUUCACCUCUCUUCUUUUUCUCGCUUUUCGCCACACCAUCUAUUUCUUUCACCACAUGAAAAUACAUGUUUCUAAAUACAGCUUGGACCAAAACUAUGCUUUUUGUAACACGAGAGUAUAUAUAUGUUCCAAAUAAAAACUAAAUAAUAAACAGGGAACCACAUGAUUGUAUAUAAAACUACUAUUUAAUUAAGCACGCGAUACUUCUGAUAAGCAAAAUACUGAUUUAGGAGAAGAAAAAAAAUAAAACAAAAGAACUAACCUCUGAUGACAUUUUGGUGCAGCUUCUUCUGCACCCAGUUAAAGAUCUUCGGAGAAAAUCCAGAAAAACAGAGAUAUUAUAUACGCCGAGCUAUAAAAAAGGAGCUAAAAAUGCAUACAAGUGAAUGAAUGACUAAAAACAUUACGUACCGUCAUAGUAUUAUAUUUUCUUCGUGAAGAGUUUGAAGCAAACGAAUAGUGUGAAAUGAGAAAUUUAUUGGACACUCAAGGGGAGUGUUUAAGCUCCUGACACGUGUCAAGAAAUGGACAGUGGGUGAGAUAGGUCUGAGUUUUGGGAGACAAUACCAAUCAGUAGGUGCCACAUGUAAGUGGUCUAGUGCUUAUCUGGUCUCGAUUAUUAAUAAAUUACUUUUUGACCUGAUAACUUAUAGUAUUAUAAUCAUCUCCAGUUUUGCCUUCUUGGCCUUCCUUUGGUUCAUUUCUUGUAAUAUUGUUGGUAGGCUUCUGUUGCUUUCAAUGCUUUAUCGUUUUUAUUUGACACUGAAGGAACAAUUCGUUGCACAAAAGCGAUAGUUUUGGUUUCAAUCAAUUUUCGUCACAGUUUAGAUAUCCUAUUUCAAUAAUUCUCAUUUCAACAAUUUUGUACCACCACAAGUUGUAGGCUGCAACUAGAAUGCAUUUUUUUGGAAUUAAAACUUUCUAAAUGUUUAGUUCAUUUUUAUUCUAAAAAAAAAUUUACUAGUUACAAUUAAAAACUGGAAUAUAUAUUCUAUUUCAUUUCAUAACAUUCCAUACUAUUCAAAAAAAAAAAUUAACUAUCAUUUAAAAAAUCAUUCCAAAUCAAAAACGUUUUGGAAUAAAUGAAAUGUUGAUUUCAUUCCAUUAAAUUUCAGAAAUAAUAAUUUCUAUCAUGCCAUAUAUUUCUUUGAUUUGUUACCGGUUACAACCAUAGACUAGGUGAUGUCGUGCAGUGGAACGAAUGUUUUACGUUGUGUCACUGAUACCAUCAAAAGUUUGUUCGAGGCCAAGAGAAAUAUUAGGAUCCAAGAUCCAAACUACUCCUACAUAACCCAAAAAAAAAAUUCAUUUUAGCAACGGUGGAUCCAACCUAGUCGAAUCAAUGUAGUUAACUUCUUCUCCAGUCUCCAUUACCAUUUUGUGAUGGAUUUUGGUACAAACCCCACAAAAGAAACUACGAUUUUACUGUUAAUCCAGCUUCUCCCCAUUUCGUCGGUGUUUAAUGGUUUGAUAAAGAAACUAUAGUAUCAUCACUAUUAGUAUUAGGUAAUCGCAAGGUCGUUGGAUACCUAUUAAAUCAUCAAAUCAUGCACAUGCAAAGUAUCCCCGAGCUUUUAAAGUAUAACACAAUAACCCCACACACACUUCACCCUCCUUUCUCCUUGUCACUUGCAUCUUGUUCCUAAGCUUUUGUUGUCUUUUGCCUAAUAAUAUGAUCACUUUAGUUCUCUUACACAACUUUUCGAAAGCAUUGUGGUAGUGUUUAUGUACACCAAAAGGUAGUGCUAUAUGACCAUCAAUUAUUUCAUCAGUAUUUGAGUUAAGAUAAAAAAAAAAUACCUAUACAAAAUGCGGUGAUAAAAUGUUUGAAGUUGUAAAUUCAUAUUCAAAACAAAAGAUGUUGUCAAAAUAUAGCUUAUCAUUAUACGCACAUACCUCUAAAUCCUCAUGAUGAUCAUAAACCUUAUUCUCGUUGGAGAUAAGAGGGUCCGACUCUUGGUUGACGUUCUUGAUGAUGCUACCAUCGAUUACCACAUAGUCCAAACCCACACUCUCGCGUUCAUCACCAUCAUCUAUUUCGGCUUCUUCUUGAAAUUUCAAAGUGUCAAAACCAAAUGUGCCGAUGGUGAGAACUCCAUCGAACCAGUUAUCAAGAGCAUCCACUAACCCAACCUGAUCCAUUAUAGCUUUCGUGUUCUUCUCUAUCUCACUUGUUCCUUCACCUCUCUUCUUUUUCUCGCUUUUCGCCACACCAUCUAUUUCUUUCACCACAUGAAAAUACAUGUUUCUAAAUACAGCUUGGACCAAAACUAUGCUUUUUGUAACACGAGAGUAUAUAUAUGUUCCAAAUAAAAACUAAAUAAUAAACAGGGAACCACAUGAUUGUAUAUAAAACUACUAUUUAAUUAAGCACGCGAUACUUCUGAUAAGCAAAAUACUGAUUUAGGAGAAGAAAAAAAAUAAAACAAAAGAACUAACCUCUGAUGACAUUUUGGUGCAGCUUCUUCUGCACCCAGUUAAAGAUCUUCGGAGAAAAUCCAGAAAAACAGAGAUAUUAUAUACGCCGAGCUAUAAAAAAGGAGCUAAAAAUGCAUACAAGUGAAUGAAUGACUAAAAACAUUACGUACCGUCAUAGUAUUAUAUUUUCUUCGUGAAGAGUUUGAAGCAAACGAAUAGUGUGAAAUGAGAAAUUUAUUGGACACUCAAGGGGAGUGUUUAAGCUCCUGACACGUGUCAAGAAAUGGACAGUGGGUGAGAUAGGUCUGAGUUUUGGGAGACAAUACCAAUCAGUAGGUGCCACAUGUAAGUGGUCUAGUGCUUAUCUGGUCUCGAUUAUUAAUAAAUUACUUUUUGACCUGAUAACUUAUAGUAUUAUAAUCAUCUCCAGUUUUGCCUUCUUGGCCUUCCUUUGGUUCAUUUCUUGUAAUAUUGUUGGUAGGCUUCUGUUGCUUUCAAUGCUUUAUCGUUUUUAUUUGACACUGAAGGAACAAUUCGUUGCACAAAAGCGAUAGUUUUGGUUUCAAUCAAUUUUCGUCACAGUUUAGAUAUCCUAUUUCAAUAAUUCUCAUUUCAACAAUUUUGUACCACCACAAGUUGUAGGCUGCAACUAGAAUGCAUUUUUUUGGAAUUAAAACUUUCUAAAUGUUUAGUUCAUUUUUAUUCUAAAAAAAAAUUUACUAGUUACAAUUAAAAACUGGAAUAUAUAUUCUAUUUCAUUUCAUAACAUUCCAUACUAUUCAAAAAAAAAAAUUAACUAUCAUUUAAAAAAUCAUUCCAAAUCAAAAACGUUUUGGAAUAAAUGAAAUGUUGAUUUCAUUCCAUUAAAUUUCAGAAAUAAUAAUUUCUAUCAUGCCAUAUAUUUCUUUGAUUUGUUACCGGUUACAACCAUAGACUAGGUGAUGUCGUGCAGUGGAACGAAUGUUUUACGUUGUGUCACUGAUACCAUCAAAAGUUUGUUCGAGGCCAAGAGAAAUAUUAGGAUCCAAGAUCCAAACUACUCCUACAUAACCCAAAAAAAAAAUUCAUUUUAGCAACGGUGGAUCCAACCUAGUCGAAUCAAUGUAGUUAACUUCUUCUCCAGUCUCCAUUACCAUUUUGUGAUGGAUUUUGGUACAAACCCCACAAAAGAAACUACGAUUUUACUGUUAAUCCAGCUUCUCCCCAUUUCGUCGGUGUUUAAUGGUUUGAUAAAGAAACUAUAGUAUCAUCACUAUUAGUAUUAGGUAAUCGCAAGGUCGUUGGAUACCUAUUAAAUCAUCAAAUCAUUCACAUGCAAAGUAUCCCCGAGCUUUUAAAGUAUAACACAAUAACCCCACACACACUUCACCCUCCUUUCUCCUUGUCACUUGCAUCUUGUUCCUAAGCUUUUGUUGUCUUUUGCCUAAUAAUAUGAUCACUUUAGUUCUCUUACACAACUUUUCGAAAGCAUUGUGGUAGUGUUUAUGUACACCAAAAGGUAGUGCUAUUUUUUAAAAUAAUAAAUAUAUAGAAGUUUUAAAUACUAAAAUAUCCAAUAAAAUACUUAUAUAAACGUCUACAUAUAAUAUACAGUCUUCAUUUAGUAGGAAAACUAUUUUCAUCAACCUGUUAGACGACUUACUGUCUCUAAAAACAACUAAUACUAUUCAUAUAAUAGGACAUUGAGAUGAGACGUUAUAUCAUGCAUUUUUCUUUCCCUUGUUUACUCAACAGUAUGUAUAAUCAAACAGAUAUCAUUAAGUGGAUGAAGUAUACGAAUACGUUGGGAUAUUUAUAGGAUAUUUUGUAGGAUAUUUAUGUAAAUAAAAGGGUGCCUGCGGAUUUAUCGAAGCAUGAGCUGCGCUUUACGGUUUAUGACUCGUAACGGACACACGAAACUAGACAUUAGAAAAUUUAGCAGAAGUUAAUUGAACUGAUUUGAAGGUCAUUUGAUUAGUAACAUGAUUAGUUCCAUGUUUCUUUCACGUAAGUUUGUCGAUGGUGUCUGGUGACCAUAUCCUUUUGGAAUAUAUUAUCCAAAUCGUUACCCCUAUCUAUCAAGAUACAAAUUGUAUACAUAGGCCCAAAAGUCAAAACCUCAAGUGCAAGAUAGGCCUGUCCAGUAUAAAUUGGGCCUUAAGAAUCAUAAGGGCCCAUGCAGUGAAUAUGAAACAAUUUCAUGAUUUUUAUCUUAAUAAAAUCGAUAUCUCAUUGAUCAUGUCAGAGGGAACCGUUUACAAGUAAAAAAGAAAAACGUUUCAAUAAAACGAAUCAAAGCCUCCAUAUAAGUAAGUGGGGUUUCCAAAAGCUUAGAGAAGAAUCAGAAACCACUAACCCCACUUAUAUUUUCUUAUUCUUUAUUUUUAUUUAAUCAAAUUGAAUUUUAUUACAAUGUAAACACAAAACCUUGAGCAUUUUUUUUUCCGGAGAUAUCUUUUAGUUUAUUAGUUGGUGUAUCCACCCCCAUUUUUACCGUACGUGUAGUCCUUGACGUGGAAACCAUUGUCGGAGCCAGGUUUCCUAGAGAUUUUAAGAUGAACGCCAGGAUCGUGAUGAGUCGCCGUCGAGUUGUAAACGAUAGAGUUGUUAAUCAUCUGGACGUUACUGUUUAUAAAUGCUCUCAUCGGGAGAUUACUAUUAUUAGCCUUAUGGUUCUUCGUCGCUUUCUUCUUCCCCUUCCCCUUCAUCACUGCUGCUGCUGCUACUCUGAACUCGCCGUCCCUUCUCUCCCGUGCCGUGAAAACCCCUAGAGGAAUGUCGUCCCGCUCCUCCGGUUUUGUUGCCUGAAGGAGAACGUAGGAUCUCCAUUACAGCACCUUUAUUUUCACCUGCAAUGGUGAUGACUCGAGAGCGCAUUAUGUUUUCGGAUUCGGAAUAAGAUGGCUGACGUGGAGUCUUCUUGGUGUUGUUGCCUUGAUGAUUAUGGUUAGGGUUAUGGUUAUGGUGGUUUGGUUCUUGGAGUUGGUUUGUUUUCUCGGCUGUGACAAUGUUUUUCUGAGUUGUUUCACGUUCGGAAUGUAACUGAGGAGGUGGGAGAGUGUAAGGAGAGAGUGCUCUCGGUGAUGGCGCUUUUCGAGAAGUCUCUGAUUCAGGUUUUACUACUGACCGAGUCGAAUGAGCUGGACUCGGUGGUGAAGUUGGCUUUCGCGGUGGUAAAGCUUCUUGAACCUCCUUGAGAGUUGGUGGCGGCGGCGUGUAUGACCACCUAGGCGGUGGUGGUGGCGGCGAUGGAGACGCAGCCUUUGGUGGGGUCGGUGGUGACAUGUGGCGGCUCGGCGGUGAAUGAUAUGGAGAGCGCUCUUGAGGAGGUGGAGGUGUUCGCUGACGUGGAAGGGAAGUUCGCUGACGUGGAGGUGUUCGCUGACGUGGAGGUGAAGGAGGUGUUUGCUGACGUGGAGGUGAAGGAGGUGUUUGCUGACGUGGAGGGGGAGGACGCUGACGUGGAGGAGAAGGAGGUUGUUGCUGACGUGGAGGUGACGGUUGUCUUGCCGGCGUUCUGACUACGACCGGACGGCGAGUGGUUUGUCGGGGUUGAGGAGGUGGAGGUGGGUCGCUUGAGGCUUGUGAUGUAGGCCUAGCGAUGCUAGAGAGACGGAACCAUGGACGAACGUUAGACAUUAUCUUAUAAAUUUUGAAAUGGAAGAUGUUAUUAGAGUGAAAACACGAUGGAACGAUUCAUAUUAUGUAACCAGAAACUUAUAUAUAUAUAUACAAGUUUGUUGAAGAAAAAGGAAACACGAGAAACAUGAAAAGAAAAAAAGCAAAUGGAGAAGAAAGGUAUCAGAUCCAUGCAAUAAGAUUUCCAGCUUGCAAAAACCACAUUUUUACGACUAGUAUCAAUCGUUAAGUUUCAUUAUCAAGCUUUUCCUAUAAAUUGUUUUUUCACCGUUAAUAAGUUUUUAAUUUAGAUUCUAUCUUCUUUCCUAUGUCCGGAAAAAAAUAUGGUCUGCAUGUAGUCGCCGACACAAAAGACGACUAAAUCUGCAUGCAGAACAAAAUCUUUACAAUAUAUAGUACCUUUGCACAUGAAAAAACAAUGCAUAUGUUUAAACCAUAAAGUUUUUUUAGAACCAUGGACUUUAAUUAACACUUGAGGAGAGUCGUGCUUCUCCACGUGUGAGACACGUUUAUUCCCAUAAUCUCCUCUUUUUCGAUUUGACGGCUAAUUAAUCAUGUUAAAUGUACCAACCCUUGUAUACCUUUUAUACGAACGGUGGAAUAUUAUUUUAUUUAUGUUCAUUUUUGGGCAAUCCCUUAUAUAUUAAAAGAGAUGCAUUGUAUUUAAUGCUUUCACACUAUAUUUGCCACGUGUCGCUUAAAUAAACCUUCUCACAAUUUAUUUCCUUAUUUACUUCAAUUAUAAAACAGACGAGAUAUGUUAAAACUAGAAAGAUUAGUAUCGCGUGAGACAAGUUGGGAGGCAAGUGAAUUGGCUUGAGGGUCGAUGUCAAAGUUCUCGAACGUCGUAUUUGGGAGGUGGGACAUAUCUAAGAUGAUGGAUGUGAAGGGCAACACACCGGAGGCCACAAACACGAUCUUGGUUGGGACAUGGCUCGUGUGUAGCAUGAGGAGAUCAAACUCGACCUUGCUCAGUUUGAGGUAGUUAGUGUAGUAAGGGCAGAGAUCUAAAUGGUGAAGUGGGUUUUCUUCGAGAGAUCCGAAGACCGUAGAGUAGUGUUGCUCUGAAUACCCUAUAUCUUCACUACGUAGGUUGAUGAGAUUGGUUCUGAUGUUUUGGACUUUUGGGCACAACUUUUCAACUUCGAUAUUUGUGUCCGUAGGCAAGCACGUGGACAUGAGCUGUUGGAACAAAUUGUCGAUAUAAGUGGAAGGUUUAAGGCUCUUGAGAUUGGAGAUUUUGUUAGACAAGUCGAGAAUUUGCAUCUCGAAAUGAGCCUUUUGGCAAGCCAUGCCAAGACUAAAAUGAGAUUUGGGAUUGGUCUCAAUACUCUUAAUGGUGAUCACAAUAAUAUACUUUCAUCUUACGUGUUUCCAUGUUGUGUGGAUGACAAAAAAACAGUUAUAUGCUCCAAAAUUUAUACGUAUGAAGAAAACGUUUACAACCGGAAUAGCGUUUUUUUUCAUGAUCUUUAAUUGGAGUAUUACUGUUUCGUCUUUUCCAUUUAAUAGUUAAUAAUUUUUAACAGCUUUGAGACAUUACCUAACACAUUUUUUAAUUAUAUGUUAACGCAACACCAAAGAAACUGUCAACUUUUGAGAGAGUUGCAAAAACGCUACACCUAAGAAACACACGAGAUACGUUCAUCCCACUCAAGUUUUUUUUUUGGUAUAAUAAAGAAACACUCUAUUCUUGAGUGUUAAACCGAAACAGGGAUGUACACGCUAAGCUCUGGUAUGGUUUAAUGCUUAGCGUUUCAUUCGGUAUAAUAAAAACGUUUUCAAAAUUAAAAUUAAUCCCUAUUAUUAUGGUUAACACUAUUAAACCAAAAUUUAAAAUUAGUUUGUUAUUAUAUCAGAAACAGUUAAUCUUUGUUUUGAAAUGGAUUAUGCUACAUUGACUGAUUGGCAAGGUUGAUUAAUGAUAGAGGAUUUGUAUAUAUUUCGAAACUUUGGUUUAUGGCAAUAUAUACAUCGUAUUAUAUUGAGCAAGGCACAAAUAUAUGACAUUAAUUUAUUUUUUUCGGCGAUCAACGUGACUUACAUUAGGUUUUUAUAAAUCUAUAUAUGACACGUGUCUCCCAUCUUUCUUACUCAUAACCUAUACACAAAACUUGAGCAUUCUUCACUCAUUCUUCUAUAAUGGUUGAGAUAACUGAUGUAUCAGAUUUGAAACCGUACAAGUCUAUGUGGAAGAUUAGCGAAAGUAAAAAAACCUCUGGUGAUCAUAAACAUGAAAAUGUAUUUUUAGUUAUAAGAUUUUUUCUACAACAUCCUUCAUGAUAAUCUCUUGCACUUUUGUGAUGGCUCCAAUCCUAUUUUUUUGUCUGAAAAAUAAGUUCAAAUUGAAUAGACACCCUAUGAUAAUGAUUCAUAUAUCUCAACCUCUACAUAUAAGUUGUGGCCAAUGAAAAGUCCAAAAAAUCCAACCUAUAACCAAAUUGAUAUCCACAUUAAACAAACUUAAUAUCUUUUUAUCUUAUAAAUAACGAAAUUAAUAAUCUCAUUCCGCGCAAGGCGCGGGUUAUCACCUAGUUAGCUUUAUUCAGGGAUUAAUAAGAUGCAUGGAAAGGGAAACUUCAAGAACCAAACAUCGAAUACUGAUAACCAGUAAGAAAGUAUGUUUGUGCUAAGCAUCUUCGUCAGCUUUUCUUUUCAUAUUCAUAAAACCUAAAUUCAAAAUGUAUUGGUCACUACUCUAAGCCACUAAUUCUUUCCUUUAAAACUUUUUUUAUAUGAUACAGUGUCUCGAAGUGUAUUAUACGUUAUGCUUAUUGGAUAUCAGAAGACCUAUCUCAAGUAUACCAUCACAAAUUUAAGUCCAAUUUGCAUUUUAUAAAAUUAUUACUAUAUGUGUACAUCAAAAACAAGUUUUACACAUUUCAGCUGAAGUUUUAUGCUUACUAAGAGAGAAUUUUAUUAUGACUCCUAACGAUUAAAAUAGAUAAGUAUGAUACACAAUGUUUACCCCAUGUUUAUAGUCUAAUUAAAUUAGAUGUAUGUCAAUGUGUUAUUGAAAGGGUCAACAAAACCAGGGAUAUAAAUUUAGUUAGCAAAUUAAUCUGAAGUUUAAUAUAUCGUGACAUAAGGAACGAUGAGUAGUUAACAAGUGAUAAUCAGUGGAACCUCUAAUAUUGGCCACGAUACCAAACUUUGUUUAUGCACGGAGCAAAGUGUAGCAAACAUCACAUUUACUGAAUAAACAUGAUACAAAUGUCUUUUACAAUUAGGAGAAACGUUGGGCUUUUGAUGCCAUAUACUAUAUAGGCAAACUUGGUGUUUUAGAAAAAGGCAUUUAGUUCGGUAACUUGCGUAAAGGCCCAUUAUAUUCAUUCUCCUAUAAACAACAAAAAAUGUUUUUUUUUUUACGUAGUCGACUUCAGAAAAAACGCAUUAUAAAAUGGACUGGCUACUACAUUACCUGAUUCAAAUUUGAAAUACUUUCCGACUAAUAUCAGACUAAUAUCAGGGUAUUUAAGUCGAUGUCAUAGAAAUGCGGUUACAAUUCCACGUAGAAACACGUUUUCUUUGUAAGAAUUUAGUUAUGUUAAUUUUGCUUCGAAUGGUCAAAAUUCCCAAACACAUGGAACGGUUUAGUCGGAUUAAAUGUGAAUAAACACGUUGUUGUUAUAACUCUAAGUCUGUAUUAUAAUAUCUUGAGCAUAUAUUAGUUUCUUUCUUUCUUUCAAGUCAAAGCACAUGCAAAAUAUGCUAAAAUUAAAAGAAAUGAACCCAAAUGCGUUUUUGUGUGUGAAAGUUUUAUAAAUAAGAUCCUCUAUAUUUUAAUUGUAUCAUUUUUUUGGGGUCAAAUUGUAUCAUUUAAAAUGUGAUUAUGGUUUAAUUUAGUUUGGUUUAGAUCGGAUAAACCAGAUUGGUAAGUUCUAUUUUAAAAUGUGUGUAAAGAGGAAUUCGAAGAAAUAGUAUAGAAGAAUCAUGAUGAAUGCACACACCGAUGACAUUGAAUUGGUACAACUUUACAGACAAUCCAUUAGUGCAGAACAUGUAAAGCAAAAGCUGAAAACUGAUAAAAAUAUCGAAAGCAGCAUUUACAAGAAGAAAGGAAAGAGACGUCUUAUUUCCAUUGAAUGUAAUAAUCACUAUUAAUAUUGGACCACACCGUGUAUGGGUUGUGUAUGACUUUAGAAUUUGAAAUUUCCCAUGCUGAAACAUUCAAAAUAUUUUUUGAGUUUUGAGUCCGACUAUAUACUUCUCCAGCUGUAUACAAAAAAGGGGAAAGUGAAAAUAGAGAAAAAUCAUGCAUGGAUUAUUGUAAUUUAUGGUUUAAACUGAAAUCUUAAGGGCAAUUAAUGAAAAUUUGGUUAAAUUACAAGAAACGUACAAAGAAAUCUGUUUUGGACAGGAGUCUUCUUGUUCCGUGAACCAUACGUCUUAAUCGAGAAUUUGCCUCUAUCUUUUGAAAGUAACGUUCAGAGCACGACUAAGAUAACAGGAGUCAAGACAACCAUAUAUAAACAGUAUAAUCAAACUAAGUCAAGGUUUAAGAGCGUUAGAUUAUGGUAACAAGUAACAACAGAGAUUGAUAGAUUAAGGAGAAUAAGAGCCUACAUGAUAUGUUACCUUGCCGUAAUAAAUUGAAAUGCUGAUUCCGUGUACCAACCUAACACCAUACACAUGCAAUAUUAAAAAGGCCACAUGGUGUCUUGAAAUUGUAAACUAAAUAAUUAUGAAAGCUGCGAUGUUGUCCUAGUACGACCCCGCCCCCCCUCCCCUUGUGAAAGAAGGUGUUUUGGACUUUUGGUCAGCUAACUCCUUUGUAUUUGGCUUUUAUGGGUGCAAGUAUGCAAUAACCAAGUUAUAUUAUUACUCCAUAUUAAAACUGUAGAAAAUUAGGCCGUGGAUUUCAUGUUACUUGUUUUUUACAAGAUAACUCUUUUUAAUUAACAACAUGUGAUUUAGCUACUCUCGUUGGUCAACACUAACAAUUACACGAUUUUCGCGCUAUAUCCAACUUUGAGCACAAUAAGAAAUGCAUAAUCUAGAACACACAACCUCUUCCCUCUUUUCCAGCUAAUCAAAAUUUAACCACCCGAACUAGAACGUUGCAGACAAAUUAGGUUAAGAAAAUGUAUAACGGCGUAAAGGGUCCACUAGAUGAAUAUUCUAGUGCUAGAAUGAUAUAUAUGCGGCUAGCUAUUUCGGAGGAAUACUGAAUAUGUUGUGUAUAUAAAAUGAUAAAAUGUUUUUAUGUAUUCAUGGGAUAUAUUAGUUGGUAGUGGAAACUAAGCUUUUGUGCAUAAUCAUGAAUCAUGAACUAUACAAAUGCCGCCUUCUGAAAAAAAAAAAAAAGUAUCGCGUCCAAUAAUCCAUAUUUUAAUAAUCUGACUAAUACUUUUAUAUUAAACAUUUACGAGGUAGUUAAAAUGUUAUCAACUAAAACCUUUCAAAACUCCAAGGGGUUAUGCGGCUUGUUAAAUUUAUAAACUAAAGUUACUUAAUUUCUCUUUGCGCCGACCUCAGAUUUUCUGACAAAUAAAAAUGAAAAUGACAGCCAAAAUUUAGCUUGUUUCUUAAGUGAAUUAGCUAUGAACUUCUGUCCUUCAAACCGAUUGUAAUUAUUUUAUGUAGAAUAUUCGAGUAAUGAAAAAAUUAAUCAUAGCCAAAAGGAACAAAACUAGUUGACUUUACAAGUAUAUUUUGUCAUGAUAAUUGUGAUUUGUGAAAACUAGUUUACAACGAAGAAUACUUCAGUCGCCCUAUCAAAUAUCACUAGUACUACUACAUAUGUAUUACAUGAAGACCAUAAUAUUUGUAGUGUCAUCAACUUUACAAAUUGUUUUUAUUGCAAAACUGCUAGAAUCACAAUGAUACCAAUCAAAAGAAUAGUAAUAUUAAUGAAAAAUCACAAGGAUAUUUUAAAUUCGAUUCAAAAAUCUGAAAUUUAAUUUUUUUUAACAUUUUUAGAGUUGCUAAAAAACAAUUCUACUUCUUUUUUUCUUUACUCAUGAACUUGAAAAAAAAAUUCCUUGCUUUGUCAAACGAGUGUAUAUAUUUUAAAAAUCUAACAAUGUAAGUCAACCAAAUUCUUAAUACACUAAAUUUGUAUCGUUUAAUUAGUUUCAAAAUUUUGAUUAAAGGAUUCAUGAACAUACACAAAAUACCAAAGCUCUCAGUAGAUUAACUAAAUACAAAAUCUCGUUUUCCUGUGUAUCUGUAAAUAUAAGUUGUUGACUCUUUCAAAAAAAAAAAAAAACCAGUAUUAUCAAUUGAUUGCUCAGUCUUCGUCACGUUUUCUUUGUAUAUUUAUACACAAUACCUACUAGUCCUUCUUUACGUCUCUCUUUCUCAGAGUUUUCUUAUGAUUCUUCCACGCCUCUAAAUAUCCCGUCAAAAUACUCCGUCUCUGUUUUCUAUUCGCAAUUCUCAGACCAUGACUUUAAUCUCUAUAUUCUCUAAUCCGAGUAAGUAUUCUUCAUCGUUAGGAAUAUAUAUAUCCUUCUAAAAGUGAGAGAGUUCUUUGAAACAGAGUUCUUUGUUUCGAUGGGGAGGAUUCUAUGGCUACUUGGGGCGGGGAUCGUUCUGUUCUUGGUUAGGAUCGUGUUAUUCAAAACCGGUUUGAUUCACAUGGUUAAGAAAUGGAGGAGGACGAUCGUCGAUCUCUUUCACGUUUACCAGCACUACAAGGUCCCUGAAUUCAACGAAGUUCAAGAGAAUCAUCUCUACAGGAAAGUGUACACGUAUCUGAACUCGUUAAGCUCCAUCGAGGAUUCCGAUUUCACCAACCUCUUCACCGGGAAAAAGUCAAACGAGAUCGUCCUCCGCUUGGAUCGAAACCAGGUCGUUGGAGACGAGUUCCUCGGCGCUAGAGUUUGUUGGACCAACGGAGAAGACGAAAACGGCGCCAAGAGUUUCGUUUUGAAGAUACGUAUAGCCGAUAAACGGAGGAUCCUCGGUCCUUAUCUUCAGCAUAUACACACAGUGGCCGACGAGCUUGAACAGAGAAACACGGAGCUGAAGAAGCUUUUCAUCAACGUAAAAAAUAAACGGUGGAGAUCGAUUCCGUUUAAUCAUCCUUGCACGUUCGAUAACAUCGCAAUGGAAAUGGAUCUGAAGAACAAAGUCAAAUCCGAUCUCGAAUCGUUCCUCAAAGGGAAACAGUAUUACAACCGUCUCGGCCGCGUUUGGAAACGGAGUUACCUCUUGUACGGACCUUCCGGCACCGGAAAAUCGAGCUUCGUCGCGGCGAUGGCGAAUUUUCUUGACUACGAUGUUUACGAUGUAGAUCUCUCAAAGGUAGCUGACGACUCGGAUCUCAAGAUGCUUCUGUUACAGACGAGGGGCAAGUCAGUGAUCGUGAUCGAGGAUCUCGAUCGGUUAGCGAAAUCGACGGCUGUGAGCGUUUCGGGGAUUUUGAAUUUCACCGAUAGUAUUCUCACCUCUUGCGCUGCGGAUGAACGGAUCAUGGUGUUCACGAUGACGGGGAAAGAAAAUAUCGACCCGGCUAUGCUCCGACCGGGUCGGGUCGACGUUCACAUCCACUUUCCGUUAUGCGACUUCACGGCGUUUAAAACGUUGGCCAACAGCUACUUGGGCGUGAAGGAGCACAAACUUUUCCCUCAGGUGGAAGGGAUUUUUCAAAACGGCGCGACUCUGAGCCCCGCCGAGAUCGGAGAGCUGAUGAUCGCGAAUCGCAGCUCGCCGACUCGCGCGCUCAAGUACGUCAUCAACGCUCUGCAGACGGACGGUGAUCGGAGAGGAAAUGCGCGGCGUUCGUUUCUCGAAAGCGGCUCGAGGAGAUCGGAGGAUGCUUCCAGCGAGAUGAGCGGUCCUCUUUGCGGCGGCGGAGGCGGAGGAGGAGGAGGAAGCUCGCCGGGGGUGAAGGAGUUCAGGAAGCUGUAUGGGUUGUUGAGAAUCAAAAGCAGUAGAAAGUCUGAGUCGUACGAUGCGGCUAGGGAUUAAAGUUUCGAAAAGUCAACGGCCACGUGGAUUAAUGUUAUUGGCUGUGAUAGAGAAUGUUCCUAUGUUUUUUUUUUUCCCUCCUUUUUUUCUAGUUAAUGUACAAAAAAAUUCGCAAGACAAUACGAAGAGAAAGCCCAAACUCAACAUGUUGGGCCAGUUACAAAAAGCCUAAUUCAAUAUUCAUCAAAAUUACCCAAAUACCCUUAAAGAUCGAAGGGUGGAAAAGAUAUGCGAGUUAGAUCGAACGGUCAUGGAGCAUCGUCAAUAACACACUCGUUAUAAAACCGCGUUCUUCUUCGUCGAGCAUCGUCGUCGUCAUCAUCUAGGGUUUUUCUAAGAUUCUUCUAAGGUAAAAUUCGAAGUUUCCCACAGAAGACGAUAGUAUAUUCGAAUCAUAUCUUUGACGUUUUGGUUUGAUUGGUGUUGCAGCGAUUCGAUCUCUUGUGCUAAGGAUGAGGCCGGUGUUCGUGGGGAACUUCGAGUACGAGACUCGCCAAUCGGAGCUGGAACGGUUGUUCAGCAAGUACGGGAGAGUGGAGCGAGUUGACAUGAAGUCUGGUAGAUAACUCCUUCGCAAACUUUACUCUCUUUUAUUGAUUCGUUUAGAGGAGAAGUUGCUUUGGAUGAUGUUAUCUUUGAUAUAGGAUUCUUGAUUUUGACUAGUUAUGUUGAGUCCAUUGAUUUAGUUUUAAGAGAAUUCGUAUAGAUUAGCCUAGAGGUGGAGAUUUUUUUUCUGUAUGUUAAGUGUUUGUUUGGUCGCAGGAGGCUUCUCUCCAUAGGAGCAUUGAGUUUCCAACUUCUUCCUGCAAAAUUACAUUUUCAUACAAUCAUUCAUGCCUACCUUUAACAUCUCAUCAUUGUGCCUACCUACACUCUUCGCUCACUCUAGAGAGAUAUCUUCCAUGUCUGAUGUCUUCAUCAUCCAUUGCUUUGUUUCUCUUCAUGCCUUUCCGUUGUCUGAACUCCUACUUUCAGAAUGGGUGAAAGCAGUGCCUUUGCAAUGAUUCAGAUUUCGGAAUUGAAAAGGAAAAAUUGGGGUUUUAAUUAUUCUUUUGAUCACCUCUGCAUCUUAUGUACAACAGCCUUCAAAGUGAUGCAGGUCAUUGUAUAUUUCUUUUAGUUUCACUUUCUCUAGUCUAGGUUCAAAACUAAAAACGGUGUCUUUGAGCUGACUUAUCUCCUGCGUUGCAAAUUCUGUGGGCUGCUGAAACAUAUAUGCUCUCUGCGUCUUCUUUACCAUGUGUGUGUUUUAUUCCUUGCAGGUUAUGCUUUUGUGUAUUUUGAGGAUGAGCGUGAUGCUGAGGAUGCUAUCCGUGGGAUUGACAAUAUCCCUUUUGGCUAUGAGAAACGCAGGCUCUCUGUCGAAUGGGCUAAGGUAUCUAUCUCUCUCUUUUUGUUCUAAUGACUUCAUAUGCUCUGUUUGUUUUUUUUUGAAGUGAGGUCUAAGUUUUCUUCCGGCUUUCAGGGUGAACGUGGGAAGCCUCAUGGAAAGGCAGCCUCAAACCAGAGACCUACGAAGACACUCUUUGUCAUCAACUUCGACCCUAUCCGCACUAAAGAGCGUGAUAUCGAGAGGCACUUUGAGCCCUAUGCCAAAGUUCUCAACGUCCGCAUAAGACGCAACUUCGCAUUCGUUCAAUUUGCAACUCAGGAAGAUGCAACCAAGGCCCUUGAAUCUACACAAAACAGGUUACAACAACAACAACACACUUUCACCACCUGUCUGAUUCUAACAGAUAAUGCCUGCCCUUACAUGUUUACCCUCCGUUGGCAGCAAGUUGAUGGACAGGGUUGUAUCCAUUGAGUAUGCUUUGAGGGAUGAUGAUGAGAGAGAUGAUAGAUACGCUGCUAGUCCGAGAAGGAGAUCUCCUAGUCCAGUGUACAGGAGGCGUCCCAGUCCUGACUAUGGCCGUCCUCGCAGUCCUGAGUAUGACAGGUACAAGGGUCCAGAUGCUUACGAAAGGCGUAGAAGCCCAGAUUAUGGUCGUCGCAGUCCUGAAUACGGUAGAGCUAGGAGCCCCGGUUAUGACAGAUACAGAAGGUAAUAACACCAACACUUGGCUUGUUAACAACUGUUUGUGUUAUGGAUCAUUGUUAUAUUCUAAGUUUCUUUGUUUUGUCUGUGUAGCCGGUCUCCUGUAUACAGAGCAAGAGGUUGAAGAAGCUGUUUACUGAAUGUGUCUCUACGAGUGGUUGUGUUUUCUACGUUAGUCUGAACUUUAGUUGCUAUGCUCUUCUACAUGUGGUUGUAGUUCUUAAGUAGCUUAUAAUGACAUUAUAUCUUUGUGAACGAUUUGAAGGUUGGAUUCUCUCUAAAUCAUUUAGUUUGUUCAUUGCCUAAAUAGAUUUUUAAUAUUCAGAAACAUUGCACAAGAAAAAGAUUUUUCAUCAUCAGAGUUCUUGGCUGAUUGCUUUCUCCAGCCAAGUCUCUGCAUCUUCCAUCAUCUCGGGACUUAACCGAACCAUGAGAACGCAGAACUCGGUUUGGUUAAGAACUCCAUCUCCGUUGAGGUCUCCUUCUCUAACCAUUGCUUCUUCAUCUUCCUUGCUCAUUCCUUCAAUCCCAAGUAUCCCUGAGUUUCUCUGUAAACUCUCAGUUGUGAUCAGAUCCCUCUUUGGAUCCGCUAGCAAACUGAAACCUUUACAUAGCUCUGAUACAAACUCUUCAACGUCCAUCUUCUCCGCCAUAAUCGGUAGCAUGUCUUCGUAUUUAGUCUCCAUCUUCGUAGUAUUAGUUUCUAGUACAAAGUGUUUAGUGCUUGGUGGGUCCAUUAGAGAAGAGAUAAUGUGAUGUGUAUCUUGAAUGAAUUAGUUAAGUCCAACGAGGGAGAGAUAUAUAAGUGAGUGGCGUAUUAGUACCGAUGUGGCUGUCACGUUCGAACCUAAUCGUGUGGUAUAUAAACUCUCUUCUUGAAACCAUCGUUGUUGGAAUCUGAGUUGAAGUAAUAAAGGGACGUGAUCCGUUCUCAAGAUGUUGCGUUUUAGCGUGUUUGAAGGCAUCUGAUUAUUAAGUAGUUUCAUAGAAACUACUCAAGUGCCGUGACUUGGACGUAUUAGGACACUUAUUAUGUAUUAAAUUAUCAAAAGGGAAGAGACAUAGAUAGGUAAGCAAUUUGGCAGAAGUUUCGUUUUUCUUGGUUUCUAACGAGUUUUGUUUUAUUUCUAUUGGGAAUUGGAUUCUCUUACAUAAUAACGACAGAUGAUAGACUUGUCUAUUUCUCCGUCCAAGUCCUAACUCUGCUUUGACGUAAUGGUAAGUAAUCUCUUGUCUGAAUUUGACACGUCGCUAUAUUCAUUCAUAUACUUCAGGUUAAAGAUCUAAGCAAGUAAUUUUUCUUAAUUUUACAAAUAAUCAACGUCUCUUUGUUGAUUAUGCUUUGUACUAAUUUGGUCAAGGUCAAGCCAACCCAUCGAUAAAUACGUUUCUAACCUCCAAAAGAUCGAGUUGAGUUGGAUUAUAACAUUAUAAGUAUAUCCCAAAGAACACGCCGUUUCAUUCCUUUGUUACUGCUAAUGGAUAAUUUUCAAGUUUCAACUAUGUAUUUUAACUAAACCUUUCUCAGAAGUUCACCAUUUUUAAAUUGAGUGCAUGUUCCUUUAUAUACUUAGCCUGAAAGAAGGAAAACAAAUAUCCAAUGUUUUUUAUAUAUUUCGUAUAGUUGACUCGAUCCAUUUGAGUUGUAAUAUUUAUUCGUAUAAAGUAGAGUUCUUUUAUAUACUUGCGUCUCUUGAGGCGGAAUGUUGGAGGAAGGCUAACGAAAAUGAGAAAGCAAAUGAGGAUCAGGACGAUCCGUCCACUACAGAGAUUGAGACAACGCCCCCUUGGAUACCCCGAAUCCCUACUUGUCAAAUUGAUGCAUCAUGGAUCAAUAAUGGCAGUGUCAGUGGCUUAGGGUGGAGUCUUAAGGAUCAGAUGGGAUUAGAAUACUUCGGAUUACGGGCGUGUAACAGGAACCUCUCAGCUUUGCACGCUGAGAUGGAAGGGCUACUUUGGGCAGCCUCAUGUAUGAGAGACAAAGGGAUCACUGCAGUACGGUUUGAGACGGACUGCAUGGACUUAGUGGAUAUGACUACAAACCCGAUGGACUGGCCAGCUUUCGCGACAGAGAUCGAGGUGUUCCAGAGGUUACAGGAAGACUUCGAGGAUGUGAGACUGUCUCAUAUUCCUCGAAGCCGAAAUGGCCGGGCAGAUGGAUUAGCAAAAGAUGCAAGGACCAGAGGUUUUAUCUUCUCCCAUAUAGAUCAGACCCGGACAGAUGGAGAUGCUCCUCGGAGAAUCAACUCGUCUGCUCUCCACUUGAUCUAGCUUAAAUGGAUAGACGACAAAAAAAAAAAAAAAAAAACUGCGCAGAUACGUCUAAGAUUUCUUACACACCAGGAGAAUAUCGCGGUUGGUUUAUUUCCUUUUAUAAUAUGAGUGAAUUUCCCAAAUAUGUCGUUGUGUCUCUAUGCUAGUUUAUUGAUUAUUCAAAGCCGUAAAGAGAUUCAACAGAGAACUACUGUCACACACAGAAAUUUAAAAUUUUAAUAGAACGAAGCCCAAGAAAAUUCGUGUUUAGUGGGCACUACUGAAGUGGCAUCUCGUUCCGCAGUUCAAGUGAUCAACUAGCUAGUAGCAGACAAAGACAUACAUCAUUAUCAUUCGUCACAGCACAUAGUUAGCAAAAUAUAACGUAAAUUAAAUUAAUAAACAGCAGUUUACGUAACGCUUUUCAUGAUAAUCAAUAUAUUUUUGGAAUCGAAUUAUCAUUAUACAGUACAUGCGAUGUCACGUACGGGGGUGAAGAAAAGUUGGAUUCAUUUAAAAUGAAGGCUACUAAGAUCCAUCGUUUACCUUAUUACUCUCCCAAAUUUCUCGUUACUCAUUUCAGCUUUUAAUGUUCGAUAAUCAAGUGAUUAUUUCUGGAUAUUUAUAUAAACAUAUAUUCACCAAAGAAACAAUAAAGGAAGCGAUGAAUACAGAUCAUGUAACACUUAAGAGAUUCGUAUUCACAUAUUCUUCUAACUAUACACAACUCUGUUAUACAUAUAGUCAUAUACGCUACGUAUCAAUAAAUCAAAGUGACCAAACAAACCCAAAUUACUAUCAAAAUUAUAGAGCAUUUUUUCUUAAAAAUAUAUAUAUAUUUAAACAAAAUAAAAACCUAGAAAAAUAAGGAGAAUAAAAGACUGUUGUGUUAGCUCAGUUCUGAGUUCUGACAACUUUAACUAAAGUUGCCCAUGUGACUAUGUAAGGCAAACGAUUAUGAAAGAGAAGUAGAAAUCUAAUUUCACAAUCUCUUUUGAUCAUUUUGCUUCACCAUGAAGAUCCUCCUCCCGUAGUACUGAACAUCCCACUCCAGUAUCCAUUAUUAGGGCUUGAAGAAAUAUUAUUAUUAUUAUUACCAUGACUCUUCUGUUGUUGAUUAUCGUCAUGAUCAACUUCUUGUGUUAUGCUUGAUGAAAGCUCCUUCAUUUGAUCCCCAAAUGGAAACAAAACCCUACCUUGAUGAUGAGCAUCAUCUGACCUAUUGUGGUUGUUGUGUCCAGUCCCUUGAUGAUGAUCAGUAGAGAAAGAGAGAUUACUUGGCUUGUAAUCCACCAUUGUUGGAAAUCCUGAAGAAGUGUACAUCACAUUGUUUGAUGAAUCCAUCAUUGGACCAGAAGGCAUAACUGAGUUUGAAGAAACACUAACUCCUCUUCUUAAAAGCUCAAGAGCUGAAACAGGAGAAGAACCAUAGAGAGAGGAUGAUGAUGAAGGCUGCUGAUGAGUUAUGUUGCCAUUUCCUUCCAUCUUAGGCAUCUGAAGAAACUGAGACAUGUGAACACGAUGAUGCUGAUCUUGCAUGACCGGGAAAGACAACAAGUUGAGAUCCUGUGAUGACCCUUUUGAUUUAUUGGGGAUUUGGUUUGAGAAGAGAAUUGGUGGGUUUAGAUCUGGAAGUGUUGUAGUCAAACCAAGUGAAGAUGGUGUUGUCUGAAGGAUGUUUGAUGAAGAAGAAGACGAAGAUAAUCUCUUGUUCUUUCUUGAGCUUCCCCCGACAGGGACAUUCCUAAGAGUUCCACCUUCGGUCCAAUACCUUCGACAACCUUUGCAGAAGUAUCUUGGUUGUGUUAGAUUAUAGUUGUUGUAGUAACAAAACUUUGUGUUGGUUGAGUUACAUCUUGGACAAUUUAGUUUCUCUUGUGGUCUUGCUUUCCUCUCCACCACAACCGCGGUAUUGUUGUUGUUGCUUACGCCAGAGACGGUGGCUCCAGCGGCUGAGACGCCGUUUGGUGUGAGAAUGGUGCUUGGCCUUGCACUUGACGUGGUGUUUGAUUGAUGUGUGUUGUUAUUAGGAAUCAUGAUUUGGUCCAUUGGUUUAACGUUCAUCAUUUCUUGAAAGCCCUAGAACAUUGAAACCGAAAGAGCUAAUUAGAGUUUAAUUUUGAAAAAUCUAUAUCAAUAUAUACCACAAGCAAUCAUAAACUAAAUAAUAAGCUGAUUAAGACAUAAACGUGUGAUUGAUUAUCACCAUGCUUCUCAAGAUCAAACAGAAAAAUGAAAAGAGAUGAACACCGAGAACAAGGGGGUAAAUAACAAAUACUGACGUUUAAUUAUUUUCUAUCAUCAUUUUUCCAAUAAUAUAAUUAAUGAUUAAUCACAUUAAAAGGCUGAGAAAAAUGUAUUGUGAGCUAUAAUGUAUCCCUAAUCUUUUAUUUCCAGCCUCGAAACCAACAAAAUUAUAAUUUCCCAUGCAGAAUUGUCAUUGAAAUAUGUGUUAAACUCAAGAUAUAUAGUCGUUAUCCAUAAUUGCAUCAUCAACAUGAGUAAUAUAUAAGAAAUUUUAUUAUAUAUGCACACACAUAAAUAUGCAUAUUAAUAUGAAAUCUAUAAUGGAUCAUGGAAGACAAAAGAGAAAGAAAAAGAGAGAAGAUGUAGUUAAAAAGAAACAAAAGAGGGAAAAAGAGUGAGUUAAAGGAAGAUCUUAUAAGCACCUGUGUCCACUUCGUAGCGUCCAUGAGUUCCGACAAAGAGGAAGCCAGAGGAAGCUGUGUGGGUUUUGAGUAAAGGCCAAAGAGAAGAAUGUUUUUGAGACUUUUUUCUGCCUUUUCUUUGUUUGUGAGUGAUGGCUCUUCUGUGCGUUGCCUUUCACUUUAUGGAUGUUGAAUAUAGAGCCAGCGAAGAACACGGAGAAGAGAAGCACUCAACUUUUAACUUAUUAUCUAGGAGAAUAUAUAUAUAUUUUUUGGACUAGAAAAUACAUCUAUGUAAACACAUUAUGCAUUUCCCGUGGUGAAAAUAUCAUAUAUAUAUAUACAAAUAUCAUUAAAAAGGUUGUCGAGUAUGAUGAAUUUGGUUCUAUUGGACUGUAGUUGGAAUAUUGAUUAUUGAAUGUUAAAAUAAUUAUGUGUCUAAUAACUUAAAUGAAAAACUUUAGAAUGACAUUUGUUUGUUAAAAUGGCAUUUAUUUAUGCCAUUUAGAUGAGCAGUAUGAAACUAAAUUGUUUGAUUUAGAGAUUAUAUUAUGAUUUGUAAUUUCAUAUUAUCAUCCUCUAAAUUCGGGAGAAAACUUUCGAAUAAAAACUUUUAAGAAAUUCGGUUAUAAAAAGAUAAAGAAGUAAAAAGAAAAAGUUGGGUUUGUUGAUUUUGACUAGUGAUGAUGUCUCGCGACCGCUCUCUCUUGCUAGCUCUUUCUGGUCCCUCUUAAUAAAAUAUAUAUAUCUUCGAUAAGUGUUGUAGUCAAACCAAGUGAAGAUGGUGUUGUCUGAAGGAUGUUUGAUGAAGAAGAAGACGAAGAUAAUCUCUUGUUCUUUCUUGAGCUUCCCCCGACAGGGACAUUCCUAAGAGUUCCACCUUCGGUCCAAUACCUUCGACAACCUUUGCAGAAGUAUCUUGGUUGUGUUAGAUUAUAGUUGUUGUAGUAACAAAACUUUGUGUUGGUUGAGUUACAUCUUGGACAAUUUAGUUUCUCUUGUGGUCUUGCUUUCCUCUCCACCACAACCGCGGUAUUGUUGUUGUUGCUUACGCCAGAGACGGUGGCUCCAGCGGCUGAGACGCCGUUUGGUGUGAGAAUGGUGCUUGGCCUUGCACUUGACGUGGUGUUUGAUUGAUGUGUGUUGUUAUUAGGAAUCAUGAUUUGGUCCAUUGGUUUAACGUUCAUCAUUUCUUGAAAGCCCUAGAACAUUGAAACCGAAAGAGCUAAUUAGAGUUUAAUUUUGAAAAAUCUAUAUCAAUAUAUACCACAAGCAAUCAUAAACUAAAUAAUAAGCUGAUUAAGACAUAAACGUGUGAUUGAUUAUCACCAUGCUUCUCAAGAUCAAACAGAAAAAUGAAAAGAGAUGAACACCGAGAACAAGGGGGUAAAUAACAAAUACUGACGUUUAAUUAUUUUCUAUCAUCAUUUUUCCAAUAAUAUAAUUAAUGAUUAAUCACAUUAAAAGGCUGAGAAAAAUGUAUUGUGAGCUAUAAUGUAUCCCUAAUCUUUUAUUUCCAGCCUCGAAACCAACAAAAUUAUAAUUUCCCAUGCAGAAUUGUCAUUGAAAUAUGUGUUAAACUCAAGAUAUAUAGUCGUUAUCCAUAAUUGCAUCAUCAACAUGAGUAAUAUAUAAGAAAUUUUAUUAUAUAUGCACACACAUAAAUAUGCAUAUUAAUAUGAAAUCUAUAAUGGAUCAUGGAAGACAAAAGAGAAAGAAAAAGAGAGAAGAUGUAGUUAAAAAGAAACAAAAGAGGGAAAAAGAGUGAGUUAAAGGAAGAUCUUAUAAGCACCUGUGUCCACUUCGUAGCGUCCAUGAGUUCCGACAAAGAGGAAGCCAGAGGAAGCUGUGUGGGUUUUGAGUAAAGGCCAAAGAGAAGAAUGUUUUUGAGACUUUUUUCUGCCUUUUCUUUGUUUGUGAGUGAUGGCUCUUCUGUGCGUUGCCUUUCACUUUAUGGAUGUUGAAUAUAGAGCCAGCGAAGAACACGGAGAAGAGAAGCACUCAACUUUUAACUUAUUAUCUAGGAGAAUAUAUAUAUAUUUUUUGGACUAGAAAAUACAUCUAUGUAAACACAUUAUGCAUUUCCCGUGGUGAAAAUAUCAUAUAUAUAUAUACAAAUAUCAUUAAAAAGGUUGUCGAGUAUGAUGAAUUUGGUUCUAUUGGACUGUAGUUGGAAUAUUGAUUAUUGAAUGUUAAAAUAAUUAUGUGUCUAAUAACUUAAAUGAAAAACUUUAGAAUGACAUUUGUUUGUUAAAAUGGCAUUUAUUUAUGCCAUUUAGAUGAGCAGUAUGAAACUAAAUUGUUUGAUUUAGAGAUUAUAUUAUGAUUUGUAAUUUCAUAUUAUCAUCCUCUAAAUUCGGGAGAAAACUUUCGAAUAAAAACUUUUAAGAAAUUCGGUUAUAAAAAGAUAAAGAAGUAAAAAGAAAAAGUUGGGUUUGUUGAUUUUGACUAGUGAUGAUGUCUCGCGACCGCUCUCUCUUGCUAGCUCUUUCUGGUCCCUCUUAAUAAAAUAUAUAUAUCUUCGAUAAAAAUCGUGUGUAAGGAAUUAUGUCCGUUUGUUAAAAUAAUGUAUCUCUUAAUAAUAGAUAUAAAAAUCUUUUCUGUAUCAUAUAAUGCAUAUACUAGUGUGUAGUGGAACUAUGAGUUGUAUGCUAUUUUCUUGACCUCCCAUUUUGUGAUUGGAUACUAUUUGUUUGCCAUAUGGUCCAUCAGAUCGCAUAGCUAUAUUAAAAAUCCCAACACCUUUACCAAAAAAAAAACCCCAACACCAUACCUAUACGUGUAUCAGUGUAUACUCUUUGCGUACAUGUGAUUAGUGGCUUUAACACCCAAGUUUAGCUCGACUUAAAACAUUUACUAUAUCAAUAUUCAAUGUGUAUAUAUAAAUAUAGUGGUGCCCAUCUAGAUUUUAUAAAACUGAUGAGAUUAGUUAACUACUGCAUUUGUAUAUAAGUUUUAAUUUUGUGUGAUUACAGUCAAUAUUUAUGUUUAGUUAUAUAUAACUCUGUGAUGUUAAUGAUUUUAUUUUGCAAUUGAAAUUUGUCAUUCUGUUACUCCUUCCCUUGUCUGUAAUAUAAUGGCAUUUCAUAAUGCAUGUUACCAAACAAAAACCAAUAUUUAUUUGAGAAAUUAUCUAUAAUGACUCAAAUAAUACUUGUAAUGACAUGGAAAGGCCGAAGAUCAGUGAGAAGAACAAAACAGAGUAAAUAUACAUGAAGACAAUUUUACAGCCAUUUAUAACUAACUACAUUAUCCAAUAUCCAUACAUAUGUAUUUGAACCUAUGACUAUGUGAUGUUGUCUCAGGGCUGGGGUGGUGUUGCGGUUCUGGUUGGUGCGCCAAGCAAAGACGAUGAGAGCCUCCAAGACUCAUCCGAUGAAAUAAGAGGAACUGCUCUCAAGUGUAUACUUUCCUUGGGAACUACAAAACCCAAAAACUGACAUUCCAGGAGAAGUACAUGAACUAGGUAAUGAGAAUCCUUCCUUUUCAACCUUUGCUGAGUCUGUAGACCACAAAAUAUAUGACAGAACUAAUUAAUGUAACUAACUAAACCUCUAAAGAGACUAAACUAUAGGUGAAUCUCUGAGCAGUGAGCACACACAUAAGUAGUCAUUAUUCCGAGAAGAUGGCAGAAUGAUAAAGACACGACUAAAAUACCUUUGAGAAUGAUAAACAUAAACAGAGAUCCUUGGCUGAUUUUAUAAAACCCAGAAUGACUAUACCAAUAGUCAAUAUGUGCCUUCACAAUGCUCGGCAUUUCAUUCUCAAACCCACCAGUAUAAUCACCAUUCACUAAUAACCAACGUCUACAAAGAAGGACAACCCCCAUCUUCAUCAUUGCUAGUUCUUUCAGUUUAAUUACAAAUGGUAAUCAGGACACAGCACCACAUACAAGCCGUGAAGUACAUGUAAUUGGAUAAAAGCUUGUUGACAGAUUCAUCAUCACCACCUGGGUAUUUUGAUGGAUACAAGACUCAAUUUUCUUGAGAAACACUAGUGAAGAAACAUGAACAAGAACCAUGUUGUUAAGUUUCAAUGUCACAAGCAUUCCGGGGAUGUACAAGAAGAAGAUCUAUCAAUUUCACAGCACCAUGGCGUCUAGCUCUACAGUUGUAGCCAGCCCAUACUCCAAUAUCAACUUCAGUCUAGAACUACGCAAAAGCAAAGAUCUGUCUUUAAGACUAAGCAUUCAUAUCGUCUUUCUUUUUCAUCAGUUAGUAUAGCUCUGCAGAAACAAUAACAUCGCCUAAGGAUCUAGUUACAGAGAAUUUUUUUAAUUGUACGAAGAGAGAGAGACAGAGAUACAUUACAAGGCACCAUCUUCGAGAAGAAGUUGCAAGACCGGUUUAGGUGGUUGCAAGACCGGUUCGAUUCCAACAUUAUUAUUACCGUUAGGAGAAACGCAGGCGUUUUGUGUUGUGGAUCUCGAUACCAGACUCAAACCUUUAAGAGAAAUAUAGCCGUUUACGCUAGCUUCUCUAUAAAUAUUACAAUACACCAACUCAAAAACACUUUAAUCAGACAAGAAACCAAACCAAACUCAAAAACACUAUAAUCAGACAACAAAACCAAACCAUUAUCCCUCCUUUCUUCUCCAAUUAUAUCGAUGUCGGAAGAAAACCGCAAAUGUCAAAAUACAAACCUCAAACCUCCUUCCACUAAAACUCUCUCUCUGUUCAAUCCCGUUUCUGUGCAAUGGAGAAACCACCGGAAGAAACAGCCGGUGGCCCAGAGACCAAACCGGUUUCGAAAUCGAUCAAAGCUCGUUUCCUGAAGAAAGGCUCAAGAUUCGGUGGUGGAGCUCCCGGUUUACAUGGCCGCUGCUGCUGAAGAAGUAAGUCUCGAGAUUCAGAUCUGAUUUUUUUGUUUUAGCGAAAAUCAUUGUCUGAUUUCUAAGAUCUAUGGUGAUUCAGGUGUUAAGAGCUUGCUGCCAGAGACAACAAGAAGUCGACGAUCAUUCCCAGUUUUUUUUUUUUUUUUGCCGAUUAGGAACUAUGAAGCUUUUACCAAUUUUUUUUUUUAGAGUAAUUUUGUAUUAUAUAUUUGUAUUAUGUUAUACAUAUGAGAGAGGAAAGAGAGAGUGGGCGGGGGAAGGUAGGGG